UUCUACAAUUGAGCCCUAAUUUUUGUAAGAGACAACUAUGGCGAAGAAGAAAACAGCGCCCACAACAUCGGCGCCGGCAAGUACACCUCCUGCAAAGCCUCAAUUAGUGGAAGUAAAUUCUUCAUCUUCAUCGGAGUAUGUAUACGAAGAAGUUGAAGAAGAAGUAGAAGUAGAAGAGUCAAUUGGCGAAGAAUCGAAUGACGAGGACGACAAAGAAGAAUCGAUUGACGAUAAUUCAUCUGAAUCAGAAGAAGAGGAUGAGGAUGAGGAAGAUGAGAACACGAAGAGAGAAACACUGAGGAAGCUCCUGGAACCCUUGUGUAAGGAGCAAAUCAUAGCAUUUCUUAAGGAAGCGGCAGAAAAGGAUUCUUCAAUCAUCUCCCGUAUAGCUAAAUCCACUGAAUCUGAUCCUGUUCACCGUCGUAUCUUCGUCCAUGGACUCGGAUGGGAUGCUACUAAUGAUCAGGUCAUGACUAUAUUCACUCAGUAUGGUGAAAUUGAAGAUUGUAAGGUUGUUAUGGACAAAUUCACUGGAAAGGCAAAAGGGUAUGCUUUCAUUCUCUUCAAAACCAAAGCUGGUGCUAAGAAGGCAUUGAAACAGCCCCAAAAGAAGAUUGGAAACAGGAUGACUUCCUGUCAGCUUUCUUCCACUGGAGGCAAUUCACAGUCUCAGCAGGAACAUACCUCAGGACGAAAAAUAUUUGUGGCAAAUGUUAGUCCAAAUAUUAACUCGUACAAAUUACUCUCCUUGUUUUCUGCAUAUGGGGAGAUUGAGGAAGGACCUUUGGGUCGUGACUCUAUAACUGGUAAGUUUAAGGGUUUUGCAAUUUUCAUAUAUAAGACUGUGGAAGGUUGUAGGAAGGCUCUAGAGGAUCCUAUCAAGAUAUUUGAAGGCCAACAAUUAGAAUGCCGGCUGGCUACAGAAGGUGCCCCACGACCCAACAAGAUUCAGCCUAUUGCUGCUGUUCCUGCUUCUUCUAUACAGCAGACUGACCUUGGUGCCAUGAGUUAUGGGUUUGGUUUGAAUCCUGCGCUUUUGGCACAUUAUAAUAUGAAUCCAGCUGCUGCUGCAGCUGCAGCUGCAGUCUUACUAGGUUCAAAUCCUGGGCUUGGUUUUGCAAAUCCUGGGAUUGGUUUUGCAAAUCCAAUGAUGGCUGCUGCUCAGGGUUUGUCUCAAUCAUCUUUAGCUCCGGCUGCUGCUGGCUUAGGUUUGAGUAGUAAUUAUGGUAUAAAUCCGAGUGUAUUGGGAAACUAUGGAUCCCAAGCGGCUUUGCAAGGUAUGGGUGUUUACCAGAAUGCUCAAUCUGGACAUUCUUCUGCACUGUCCACUUCUGCAGCAGAACCUCAAAGGCCACAAUCUAACUUUGGAUCUUCAGCAGCUAACAACUAUCCACUCUACUUCAGUCGCUAGGUAAAACACUAUGAAAAGCAUUGUCUUUUUCUUUUCCACAUCCAUGACCGAGUUAGUUACUAUAUGAGGGUGCAUGAUAAAGAUGACAGGCAUAAGAGGCUCAAGGUGGACAAGAUCUGAUAGAAUAAGCAAUAAGCAAGAAGUUUAGGGAGAGAUUGAGGGAGAUGUUGAAGAAAUAGAGGAAGAAGUAGACAGAAUCAGCAAAGGGAAGGAAGGAAACCGAGGGCAUAGCCUCGUUUGAUUGAAUUGAGAGAAGGGAGUUAUAGCUAAUCUUCUAGUAAGACUUGGGAUUAUGUUUUGUCGAUGCAACUGCUUUGUUAAAGUCGUCAUCAAGCAGCUGCUUUGUUGGUUUGCUGCAAAGUUAAUCUCGAGUCUUGAGCACUUCUUUCGAACCAAGUCAGUCAAUAGAUUGUUCGAUGAUUAAUGUUGUUGAUAACUCAGUCUUGAAUGAAAUUUGAAGAGAUUUUGUGGAUGGUUAUGUUUAAAAUGAGCCCAAUCUUGAAUUGUUUGUUCUUGAAAGUGAACUAAAUAAUCAGUGUUUAUUUUU